UCUGCCCAUAGGCAGCCUCAGGUCAACUCUGGGCAACCUGGGCAGGUCUGGCAGCUGGUUUUGAAGACACCAGAGGGGGUUAGGACCAUCCUACGGCCCGAGGGGUGGCCAGAUUGUCACUGCUGUGCACCUCCGAGGGUGCUUUCCUUGAAGCGACACACCGCCGAUGGGGACUGCUUGAUCAUGGGCUGACUCCCCUGAUCUGGGCAGCAGGGACUCUGGCUAUAAAAUUCUUGUUUUACGAGGUUCGCUGGGAAGCCAAAACUCCCCUGGCAAGCCUACCAGGCAGCCCCGGAGGAACGCAGCAAAAGAAGCCCUAUUGCCAAGAUGCAUUGCAUCUCAGUCGCUCUAGGAGCUACUUAUUUCUCAAAAGCCCAAACAUCCGGCCACUUGUCACAGAUCUCGGAGGAGGUCUCUGGCUCCAUCAGGAAGGGCGGACUAUGAACAAAGAUCCCAGGAUCCUGCUGUCCGUGACCCAAGCAUGGAAGCAUUUGGUUCGGGCAUGCAACUUUUGUCAUGACCACCAGAAAGACUCGGCUAAGGGACAAGACAAAUACUCACUCCUCUGGGGGCUGGAAGCUUUAGACUCAUGAACCACCAAAGCUAUACAGCUUUGGAUCAUGAUCGGGACAUUUCAGAACUAAAGUCAGUAAACUUCUACAAAGAAGCAA